UACGUAGGUGGCAAGCGUUGUCCGGAUUUACUGGGCGUAAAGAGCGCGCAGGCGGUCGUUCAAGUCGCGUGUGAAAGCCCCCGGCUCAACUGGGGAGGGUCACGCGAUACUGAUCGACUCGAAGGCAGGAGAGGGAAGUGGAAUUCCCGGUGUAGUGGUGAAAUUCGUAGAUAUCGGGAGGAACACCGGUGGCGAAGGCGGCGACCUGGGUCGACACUGACGCUGAGGCGCGAAAGCGUGGGGAGCAAACAGG
rnacentral:rRNA from 1 species